UUUUCGAAAAUUUGGGGGUUCAAAAUUUUUCAGCACACAAAAUAAAAAUCUCACAUUUGGGGAUUAAAUUAGGUUUGGCCUAUAUAGGUUUCGGCAGGCUUGUUGGAGGGUGGCUGCUGGUGGUGAACGGAGACGGAGGAGGCGAGGCGAGUAGCAAGCGUCGGCCCUUGGGACUGGUUCUCCGGCAUCGUGGGUUCUCGGCUCCAGCAUAUCCGGUUGCGGUGGCGGCGCUGGUUCUGGGCUGGGUUUGAAAUCGACAGGCGGCGGCGGCGGCGGCGGCAAGUGUUCUUGGUGCUAGGCGAUCUCAGCCACCACGACAUGUGUUCUCGGUUCCAGGCUUUUGGGCCAUAGCAAUAUCUAAUGGAGCAAAAAAGUGGUCUGUAUAAAGGAAGUUGAAGAGCUAUGGAAGAAGGUCUAUAUUGAGAUCUUUUCUUUGGCGCAAUACUAGACAACAUUAACAGUUGAAGUUUUUAGAAUAAAAACUAUAUUUCACUAACAUUGUAUACAUUUCUUGUUUAAUAUUUGGUGAUGAUAAAAUUUGAUUGUAGUAUAAACUAUCUUGUAAUAUGAUUUUGUAAGCCGAGUAGACUAAAUACUGAAAUGAUAUUUUUGAGUAAUUAAUAAAAAAUUAUUUUGUUGUA